GGCGCUAUAGUGUAGUGGUUAUCACUCGGGAUUUUGAUACACGAUUGAUUUCCCGAAACCCAGGUUCGAACCCUGGUAGAGCCU